rnacentral:rRNA from 1 species
GAUGAACGCUGGCGGUAUGCCUAACACAUGCAAGUCGUACGAGAGUUUUUAACUCUAGUGGCGGACGGGUGAGUAACACGUGAGAAUUUGCCUUUAGGAGGGGGACAACAAUCGGAAACGAAUGCUAAUACCCCAUAUGCUUUCGAGUGAAAUGGAUUUUAUCCGCCUAGAGAGAAGCUCGCGGCUGAUUAGCUUGUUGGUAAGGUAAGAGCUUACCAAGGCGACGAUCAGUAUCUGGUUUGAGAGGACGAUCAGACACACUGGAACUGAGACACGGUCCAGACUCCUACGGGAGGCAGCAGUGGGGAAUUUUCCGCAAUGGGCGAAAGCCUGACGGAGCAAUACCGCGUGAGGGAAGAAUGGCCUAUGGGUUGUAAACCUCUUUUUUCAGGGAGGAAUAAAAUGACGUGUACCUGAAGAAUAAGCAUCGGACUAACUCCGUG